rnacentral:rRNA from 1 species
UUAAACCGCGAUAGGUCAAGAUUUCUGGAAUGGAUCCUGGCUUAAAUCUACAUGGCCCCUGGAUUGGACUGCGGCCGAUCAGGCUGUUGGUGAGGUAAUGGCCCACCAAACCUAUAACCGGUACGGGCUCUGAGAGGAGAAGCCCGGAGAUGGGCACUGAGACGAGGGCCCAGGCCCUAUGGGGCGCAGCAGGCGCGAAACCUCUGCAAUGGGCGAAAGCCUGACAGGGUUACUCUGAGUGAUUUCCGCUAAGGAGAUCUUUUGGCAGCUCUAAAAAUGGUGCAGAAUAAGGGGUGGGCAAGUCUGGUGUCAGCCGCCGCGGUAAUACCAGCACCCCGAGUGGUCGGGACGAUUAUUGGGCCUAAAGCAUCCGUAGCCGGUUGUGCAAGUCCUCCGUUAAAUCCAGCCGCUCAACGGAUGGGCUGCGGAGGAUACUACAGGACUAGGAGGCGGGAGAGGCAAGCGGUACUUAGUGGGUAGGGGUAAAAUCCUUUGAUCCAUUGAAGACCACCAGUGGCGAAGGCGGCUUGCCAGAACGCGCUCGACGGUGAGGGAUGAAAGCUGGGGGAGCAAACCGGAUUAGAUACCCGGGUAGUCCCAGCUGUAAACGAUGCAGACUCGGUGAUGGGCUAGCCUCGUGUCAGCCCAGUGCCGCAGGGAAGCCGUUAAGUCUGCCGCCUGGGGGAGUACAGU